UAUAACCUGAAGCUUCGGUUGGGACUCAUAAUUGAACCUACACUUUUGCUUAGGGAAUUCGGAGUUCAUGGUGAACAUGUCAGGCCUCCAUCGAGUGGAAGACAGACGCACCAGACAGAAUGCCCACCUAUCAUCUGAUAGGGCGUCAAUUAUAUCCUGACGUUGCAUUCGGGUUUUUC
rnacentral:other from 1 species